GAUGAACGCUGGCGGCGUGCCUAAUACAUGCAAGUCGAGCGAACAGAUGAGGAGCUUGCUCCUCUGACGUUAGCGGCGGACGGGUGAGUAACACGUGGAUAACCUACCUAUAAGACUGGGAUAACUUCGGGAAACCGGAGCUAAUACCGGAUAAUAUAUUGAACCGCAUGGUUCAAUAGUGAAAGACGGUUUUGCUGUCACUUAUAGAUGGAUCCGCGCCGCAUUAGCUAGUUGGUAAGGUAACGGCUUACCAAGGCAACGAUGCGUAGCCGACCUGAGAGGGUGAUGGGCACCCUGGAAAUGGAAACAGGUCCCAGACCCUUGCGGGAGGCAGCAUGGGGGAUCUCUCGGAAAUGGCCGAAACCCUAGCGGCGCACCCACGGGGGAGGAAUAAAGUUCUUCGGUUCUUAAACUUCUUUUUUGAGGGAAAAAAAAUGUUGUAAUUAACUAUGCCCUUCUAGACGUUCCCUAAUAAGAAGCCCCGGCCAAGGUCCUUC
rnacentral:rRNA from 1 species